UACAGAGACUGCAAGCGUUAUUCGGAUUCACUGGGCGUAAAGGGAGCGUAGGCGGCGUGGUAAGUCAGAUGUGAAAUCCCGGGGCUCAACCCCGGAACUGCAUCCGAUACUGCCAUGCUAGAGGACUGGAGAGGUAGCUGGAAUUCUUGGUGUAGCAGUGAAAUGCGUAGAGAUCAAGAGGAACACUCGUGGCGAAAGCGAGCUACUGGACAAUUCCUGACGCUGAGGCUCGAAGGCCAGGGUAGCGAAAGGG
rnacentral:rRNA from 1 species